CACGCAUCGUAACUUCACUCGUCAUAACUCUACGCGUUAUAAUUUCCAGUACUGUAACCCUAUGGGCCGUCCAUCGCACCGUCCGUAAUUCCACGCGCCGUAGUUUCAUGUUCCAUAACUCCACGCGCCAUAACGCUGCGCCUCCUAACUGCACGCAUCGUAAUUCCACGCACCAUAACUCUAUCCUUGCAUCGAAAUACAUUUGCGCUCGCGUUAAGGGCCACUGUUUACAGUAUUUCAAAACAUUGACCAGUGUCCAGAUGUUCAGGGUCGAACGCUCUUGAGUUUUCAAAAUAUUUCGAAUCGCAUAGCUUAACGAAUGAAUGGUUUAGCAGUCGAUAAUGAGCGGAUAUUUGCACAUCUGUUCACUUGGCAAGAGGUUCCUGGCAGUUUUGCAAAGAACCGUCCGACUGUUGAAUGAAGGUGAAUUGCCGUUGGUAAUGGCCAUCGGUAGAACAAACAGAGUAUUUUCUGCGAGAAAAUAGACGGAGGACACCCACGCAGCUUCUCCGAAGAAUAUUUAUUAAUACAGGAGAUAAAAUCUUGGAAUUAAGCGAUGCAGAACAUGAUUAAUCGAGGUUCACAAUUUCGAAUUAACAUUUUACCUUUGGUUCUUAGCUUGUCGUUUAAAAACGUCCCAAUAAACAUGUCGUAAGAUUCAUAAAUAGCGAACAAUAUCAUUGGUUAAGGUUCGUUUAAUACAAACUACUUCGUGGAAGUACUGUGCCAGCAAAAUGCAGGAAAAAAUGUGGAGUUAAGCCGAUAUCGUUUGUGGAACAUGAAAGUGAUUCCCACCAAAAGCAACAUGAAAGACGAAAAGUGAACUAAAGCAGAGGCAAACCUCGAAAGUUUGUUUUGCACAUCAAAGCACGUGACAUUCAUUGAGGUUUCUCAGCAGAAUACAUCCGUCUAUAUGUAUGCAUAUCUAUUCGCAUGUUAACGCAAGCGUUAUUUACGUACACGGUAAGACUUCGUGAUCUUGAUGGACAGGGAACAUUCAUCAGUUUCUAAGCUGUUCAUGAGUCAGCACGCGAAUCCUCGACCCGGUCAGCGAAUUUAUCACGAGCGAAUUCUAUCGAAUCAGCAGAUACAAUCUAUCGAGAGUGUCUGCGAGCGUAUAGAACAUGUCGGGAAUUUCAGAUGACAUAAUCGUUUGAAACUACUCGAAAACAAGUGGAGCAAGAAAGUAUCAAGAAUUCUCUGCUCAAUAGAAUUACCCUCUAUCAAAAAUACAUAUGUUCUUUAAAAAUAACACUGUCUAAAAAUAUUUUUGUAGAUACAUUUUAAAUAGCGCUAUUUUUUCAACAGUGAUGCAAGGUAACAUUCUGUGAGUAUCAAAAAUUGAUUCAAUGAAGUUGAACAAAAAAAUGAUGUAGAAAUAAAAUGUUCAGUUAUACUGAAAAUUAUAGUAAUCAUUUUAAAUAACAAGUUACAGUAUUUUAAUAAAAAAUUAGAAUGUAAUUGACACCUUGAUGACCACAGUGAAAUUUGAUGUUUGUACUCAGACAUAUUAUAAGGGGAAUU
rnacentral:lncRNA from 1 species